rnacentral:ribozyme from 1 species
GGAAAGUCCGGGCUCCAUAGGGCAAGGUGCCAGGUAACGCCUGGGGGGUGUCACAGCCCACGACCAGUGCAACAGAGAGCAAACCGCCGAUGGCCCGCGCAAGCGGGAUCAGGUAAGGGUGAAAGGGUGCGGUAAGAGCGCACCGCGCGGCUGGUAACAGUCCGCGGCACGGUAAACUCCACCCGGAGCAAGGCCAAAUAGGGGUUCAUAAGGUACGGCCCGUACUGAACCCGGGUAGGCUGCUUGAGCCAG